rnacentral:rRNA from 1 species
GUAGGUGGCAAGCGUUGUCCGGAAUUAUUGGGCGUAAAGCGCGCGCAGGUGGUUCUUUAAGUCUGAUGUGAAAGCCCCCGGGCUCAACCGGGGAGGGUCAUUGGAAACUGGGGAACUUGAGUGCAGGAGAGGAAAGUGGAAUUCCACGUGUAGCGGUGAAAUGCGUGGAUAUGUGGAGGAACACCAGUGGCGAAGGCGACUUUCUGGCCUGUAACUGACACUGAGGCGCGAAAGCGUGGGGAGCAAACAGGAUUAGAUACCCUGGUAGUCCACGCCGUAAACGAUGAGUGCUAAGUGUUGGGGGGUUUCCGCCCCUCAGUGCUGCAGCUAACGCAUUAAGCACUCCGCCUGGGGAGUACGGUCGCAAAGACUG